CGUUAAAACACCAGUUCCCAUAAGAUCACCUAAGUUAAGCAAUAUCGAUCCUGGUCAAUACCUAGAUGGGUGACCGCUUGGGAAUACUAAGUGCUGUAAU